UCUAACACCCAAACCUAAAAAAAACCCUAGCCGCCCUAACUCCCCCACUGCUUCCACCAACCCUUGCCGCCGGAAAUCGCCUCAUGACGGAACUUCUCCAAAUGGCGAAAAAUUUUAACCAUAUAGCCAUUGUCCCCUUUUCCUUUCCAAAUCCCUAAACCACCUUCUUCAAAUCUCGUUCAAUCUGGCCAAAUUUCAGAUCUAAGAACAUUGACUCUUGCAUGUCUUCGCCUCUCCGUUUGUUCUUCUAAUUCAAUAGUUCGAGAUGCACCCCAAGCAUGUGUUCUUGAUAAGAACAAAUGUUUGGGAUCGCUUUUCAGCAGAAUCAAAGCCCAAAAGCUAAGUCUACUUUACUCAUCUCUUGUUUAUUUUUAUUAGUUUUUUUUCUUUCUUAACUUUUUGUCUCUGUGAUUAUAUGAGUUCUGUUUCUCAUCCUUUAAAAAAAUAUAAAUUAAAAGAGUAUAAAUAAAAUACGUCAUUAGGGUUUUUCGUCAUCUUUGCUUCCUUCUGUUCUUCUUUUAAAAAAUUAAGUAGUAACCUUAUGAUAGAUUCUUCUGUAUUUCUUUUUAUUUUGUUAGGUUCAGUCCUGCUUUUCUUCGUCUCUCAGUAGAUUUUCUUUCUUUUUUUUCUUUUUCGUUUAUUCUAUUUAGGUGCCUUGUCGAUGCUCUUAUUUGUCUAUAUUUUCUAUACAUCUGUUGUAUUCUGAUUCACAAAAAAAAAAAAGAGAUUGAUUCUAGACUACUGUCUAGAUUAGGUUUGUCUCUUUGUUUAUUUUGUUUAUGUUUUCUCUGAUUUUCCCCUUUCUUUUUCUGUUAAUUAAUAAUAAUGCUAGGUUCACUAGUUAUUUAAGUUGAAUUUCUUAGUGAUUGUUUGUUGUUCUUUUUGAAGGUCUUCCUGUUCUUUGUUUAAAUCUUUUAAUUUACAUUGUUUAGACUAAUUGCAGUAAUUAGGUUUAUGGUGAUUCAUUGUCAUUGUUUACCUUUUUCUUUUCAGCUUAGCAGUAUCAUGUUUGAAUUCAGGUAUUAUUAGUUAAUGGUUUAGGUUUAGUUUGUGUAAAGUUCAUGAUAAAUGAGUUUAUUGGUUAAGUUCAUUUCCUUUUGGUAUUUCAGAUCCAAUUAAUAUCUUGUUUUGAUUCUCUUGAUUAACAAUUGAUUUUGUACAUAUUUGCUUAAUUUGUCUAUUAGUUAACAUCUUUAGGGGGUUAAAUGAACAAGAACAAACUUAAGGGGCCAUUUGAGAGCUAGAAACUAGGUCAAUCCGAUAAGGCUACACUAAGAUUAUUCUAGAAUUCUAUUUAAGGUGAAUGUCAAUAAUUAGAGAGAUUCUAGGGUUUACUACUUGGUGGCUAAGUC
rnacentral:lncRNA from 1 species